rnacentral:rRNA from 1 species
UACGUAGGGGGCUAGCGUUGUCCGGAUUUAUUGGGCGUAAAGAGCGCGUAGGCGGUUAGGUAAGUCCGACGUGAAAUCUGGAGGCUCAACCUCCAGCGGUCGUUGGAAACUACUUGGCUAGAGUCCGGAAGAGGAGAGUGGAAUUCCUGGUGUAGCGGUGAAAUGCGCAGAUAUCAGGAAGAACACCGAUGGCGAAAGCAGCUCUCUGGGACGGUACUGACGCUGAGGCGCGAAAGCGUGGGGAGCGAACAGG